rfam:Crassostrea gigas strain 05x7-T-G4-1.051#20 contig14021, whole genome shotgun sequence.
UAUGCUUUGGUGUAAAGGUAACACACCUGAUCCAAGCUUUAAAAUGGAUUAUGGAGAUCCAGGUUCAAUUCCUGGGAGCAUUG